AGUGAACGCUGGUGGUAGGCCUAACACAUGCAAGUCGAACGGCAGCACAGUAAGAGCUUGCUCUUACGGGUGGCGAGUGGCGGACGGGUGAGGAAUACAUCGGAAUCUACUUUUUCGUGGGGGAUAACGUAGGGAAACUUACGCUAAUACCGCAUACGACCUACGGGUGAAAGCAGGGGAUCUUCGGACCUUGCGCGAUUGAAUGAGCCGAUGUCGGAUUAGCUAGUUGGCGGGGUAAAGGCCCACCAAGGCGACGAUCCGUAGCUGGUCUGAGAGGAUGAUCAGCCACACUGGAACUGAGACACGGUCCAGACUCCUACGGGAGGCAGCAGUGGGGAAUAUUGGACAAUGGGCGCAAGCCUGAUCCAGCCAUACCGCGUGGGUGAAGAAGGCCUUCGGGUUGUAAAGCCCUUUUGUUGGGAAAGAAAAGCAGCAGGUUAAUACCCCGCUGUUCUGACGGUACCCAAAGAAUAAGCACUGGCUAACUUCGUG
rnacentral:rRNA from 1 species